rnacentral:rRNA from 1 species
GACGAACGCUGGCGGCGUGCCUAAUACAUGCAAGUCGAGCGAGCGAAGCUAACAGAUUUACUUCGGUAAUGACGUUAGGACAGCGAGCGGCGGAUGGGUGAGUAACACGUGGGGAACCUGCCCCAUAGUCUGGGAUACCACUUGGAAACAGGUGCUAAUACCGGAUAAGAAAGCAGAUCGCAUGAUCAGCUUUUAAAAGGCGGCGUAAGCUGUCGCUAUGGGAUGGCCCCGCGGUGCAUUAGCUAGUUGGUAAGGUAAAGGCUUACCAAGGCGAUGAUGCAUAGCCGAGUUGAGAGACUGAUCGGCCACAUUGGGACUGAGACACGGCCCAAACUCCUACGGGAGGCAGCAGUAGGGAAUCUUCCACAAUGGACGCAAGUCUGAUGGAGCAACGCCGCGUGAGUGAAGAAGGUUUUCGGAUCGUAAAGCUCUGUUGUUGGUGAAGAAGGAUAGAGGUAGUAACUGGCCUUUAUUUGACGGUAAUCAACCAGAAAGUCACGGCUAACUACGUG